UUCUGCAUGAGCUUAAUGACAAUGAGAUUGCUUGUGACUUCACUCCUUGCCUUGACCACACAGAUGGAAGGUUUCGGCUGUGUUAGGUCAAUGCAUGGGGAAAGGUGUCAGCUUCCCCACCGUGCAGUCAGUGUUAUGCAAAAGCAGAGGCAGGAUCUGAGGGCAAGACAAACUGGGGGCUCCUGCUUGAUCGUCUCACCUGCCCCUCUUUGGCAGCGGGUUGUGUCCCUGGCCUUUUAGACCUAAGCAGAGAGGGAAUUUCAAGACAGGUGGCGCCUGUACAGUCUAUGGAAUAGGUAGUUAAUGAGGUCUGGAGUUGAUGUUGCCUGCCUCUCCUUCUCUGAUCACUUUCAUGUCAUUCACCCAUCCCAGAUGCCAUGGUGUUCUCAAUGCCCCAGUUCUGGGGUUUCCUGCCCCACUCCACCUUUCCUUUCCUGAUCCUCAAGAAAACUGACUUCUUUUCCUAGGCCCCCCGUCUCCACUUUGUGAGGGGCAUUCUGAGCAUGGAGGCUAAUCAAUAUAUUCUCAGUAUCCAAUGGAAGCCUAACGUGCCACCUCUUCCAAGGGCAGUGCAUUUUAACUCAGACCCAGCGCCCCAACCAAAUGAAAGAUCUCUAAUCUGGAAUUUUCAACAAUGGGGCUGGUGGGUCAGGGUGCACCAGAUCUCAGGAGGUUUUCCCAGAAGACUUUCAAGUGCCCCAAGAGGCUGAGUGGUCCACCAAGUGCCUGCGUGUGUGCAGUCAGGAAGCUUGAGUCUGGGUUCUGCCUGGGGCAAGUCACUACAACUCCCAGAGCCUCAUUUCUGCUAUUCGUAAAAUGGAGAAGACACCUCCUAUGAUAUCAAGUCACCGACUUGUUCCCAGCCCACCCCUCAUCAUACCCAAAGACCAGUGAUCCGGACUAAAACCAUGCCCAGUGGGUUUUGUGGGCCAUUUUUCUAGACCUACCCCCAAAGGUUGGCCUUUAAGAUAUUGUCACUUCGACGAAAAGAAUGAUCAAGAAACAAAUUAUUGAAUUAUGCGAUUUUCAGCAUCGUUCCUAUCCUCCUGACUGUGAAAGAAAGAGAAUCCUUGAACCUCCCUCCUCCCUUUCUUUCCAAGGGAAACUUUGAAUUUGUUAGCUCAAUGCCUGGGCAGGAACAUCUACUGGGAGAGGCCAGAACAUUUCCAUCAAAGAGGAGGCAAAUAUCUAGUGAGAGAAAAAAGUAGUUCCAAGAGUGGGGGCUGGGGCACCAAAGAAGUUGAGAGCCACCUGCAUGGUUUACUGGAGAAGUGUUGGCAGCAAGCUGGAAAUGAAAUGGAGAGAGACUCUUUGAUCCACAAGGUCUGUGAGCAAGAUUGAAAGGAAAGAAAGGAAAAGAGGGUUUUAAGCCACGUUGUCAUGGAUUGGAACUGUAUCUUCUGUGAUAUUCUUUGAGAACAUCGGUAAACAUUGGAAUUGCUUUGCUAAAAAAUGAAAUUACAUUGCUUAGCCUUGAAACUGUGCAACCUUUCAACUGCUGAUGAAAACAACCUCAGCAAGAUGAAAAUUUCUCCAUUUUCCUGAAACUAUUCUGCAUCAUAAAAUUCAUUGCGGCCUUUCUGCACCUGGAUAUCCUCAGCAUUAACAAUAACACCGUCAACUCACUCAUUGGACUUCAUGAAUGUGUGGUGGAGCCUCCUGAGGAUUUAACUUUCAAUACCAUGACUUAUUGAUGAGAUUUGUAAUCAACAAUAAAAUUGGAAGGCCUCCUAACC
rnacentral:lncRNA from 1 species